UACGUAGGUGGCAAGCGUUGUCCGGAAUUAUUGGGCGUAAAGCGCACGUAGGCGGUUUGUUAAGUCGGAUGUGAAAUCCCUCGGCUCAACUGAGGAAGUGCAUCCGAAACUGGCAGGCUUGAGUACUAAAGAGGGUCGCGGAAUUCCCGGUGUAGAGGUGAAAAUUCGUAGAUAUCGGGAGGAACACCGGUGGCGAAGGCGGCGACCUGGGUAGAUACUGACGCUGAGGUGCGAAAGCGUGGGGAGCAAACAGG
rnacentral:rRNA from 1 species